AUCCGAGCCUGGUCUUUCACAAUGGGAUAGAAGUAGGGGUGUUCCAUGGCUUCUCUUGCUGUGAGUCGUGACUGGUGAUCGUAUCGCAACAGCUUGUCUAAGAAAUCCAGAGCUUCAGGACUCACCAGAUGUUGGUUCUCGCUAUGAACAAAGCGCUCCCAUCGUUUACGGGAGUGUCUGCCCAAGAUAUCAUUGAAACGUGGAUCCAGUUCAAUAUUGUAUUUGUCAAUGUAGUCAUACAGAUCUUCUGUUCCCAGCACCUUGGCU
rnacentral:lncRNA from 1 species